rnacentral:rRNA from 1 species
GAUGAACGCUGGCGGCGUGCCUAAUACAUGCAAGUCGAGCGAACAGACGAGGAGCUUGCUCCUCUGACGUUAGCGGCGGACGGGUGAGUAACACGUGGAUAACCUACCUAUAAGACUGGGAUAACUUCGGGAAACCGGAGCUAAUACCGGAUAAUAUAUUGAACCGCAUGGUUCAAUAGUGAAAGACGGUUUUGCUGUCACUUAUAGAUGGAUCCGCGCCGCAUUAGCUAGUUGGUAAGGUAACGGCUUACCAAGGCAACGAUGCGUAGCCGACCUGAGAGGGUGAUCGUCCACACUGGAACUGAGACACGGUCCAGACUCCUAAGGGAAGCAGCAGUAGGGAAUCUUCCGCAAGUGACGAAGACCUGACGGAGCAACGCCGCGUAAGUGAUGAAGAUCUGCGAAUCGUAAAGCUCUGUUAUUAGGGAAGAACAAAUGUGUAAGUAACUAUGCACGUCUUGACGGUACCUAAUCAGAGAGCCAGGGCUAACUACGUG